AGUGAACGCUGGCGGUAGGCCUAACACAUGCAAGUCGAACGGCAGCACAGUAAGAGCUUGCUCUUACGGGUGGCGAGUGGCGGACGGGUGAGGAAUACAUCGGAAUCUACUUUUUCGUGGGGGAUAACGUAGGGAAACUUACGCUAAUACCGCAUCCGACGUACGGGUGAAAGCAGGGGAUCUUCGGACCUUGCGCGAUUGAACGAGCCGAUGUCGGAUUAGCUAGUUGGCGGGGUAAAGGCCCACCAAGGCGACGAUCGGUAGCUGGUCUGAGAGGAUGAUCAGCCACACUGGAACUGAGACACGGUCCAGACUCCUACGGGAGGCAGCAGUGGGGAAUAUUGGACAAUGGGCGCAAGCCUGAUCCAGCCAUACCGCGUGGGUGAAGAAGGCCUUCGGGUUGUAAAGCCCUUUUGUUGGGAAAGAAAAGCAGCAGGUUAAUACCCCGCUGUUCUGACGGUACCCAAAGAAUAAGCACCGGCUAACUUCGUG
rnacentral:rRNA from 1 species